rnacentral:lncRNA from 1 species
CCAGUCUCUAAUGUUUUCUUGCAGUAUGAGACAUGUGCUCUCAGUUUCCUAUUUCAGCUGUCAUGCCAUCCAGUCACUAUGGACCCUAACCUUCUUGAACCAUUCAAAUCCUCAAGGCUAAAGGAGUUGGUGUUGUGAAUUCAUGCGGAGACAAGCUGCAUGCCAACAAAGGGCAGAAUUAAGACUCUUACAUAAGAAGGAAGAAACUUACUCAGUGAAACCAUUGGAAGUCACCACCAACAAGUAUCUGCAGAACUCAUUUCAUCCACCAAACCUGAAACCUGGUGUAUGAAAUUCUCAGAGUGAAAAGAUCUGCCUGCUUGAUUUUGAGAGUGUUUUUUUCCUAACUUCACAGAAGACAGCUUCUUGGAAGAAAUAAGAGAUUCACGAUGUUCAGAGAAACUCUAGGGACUAGAAACUGAGAAAGAAGUAUGGCGUGCUUCAACAACUUCCAACAAAAGGGUAAGUGGCAGCAGGUGAAACAUCUUAACAGAAAGAUACCAAGAAGACAUUUCUUGGCAUGAACAACAACAGUAACAACGACGACAACAACAGCAACAACAACAGCUAAAUAUGUCUGACCUCCCAGAAAUAUAGAAUGUGUGGCUCCAAGCCAUGUGCUGCCAUGAGGAAGCAAGAAAGAGACAUAGGCACAGGAGGGCGAAGAAGCAAAGGGAGAAGUUUCACAUUUGUGCCCUAAGGAGAUGUGCAAUGAUAGACCCAUCACUCCGUGUUCUCACCUGUAAGGACCUAUGUGACCACGAGUUUGGAGCUAUCCUUUCCCCAAUGGACAUAGCACUGGAUACGCAACAGAAGGCAAUUUCUGAACUCUUCCAGGAUCUUCAAAUAGCCAACAUUUCAACAGAAAAGGCAUUGAAAGUCAUACCAGGACUUUGUUCACAUUUAGUUUGACCAUUGUAGCUCAAACCAGAUACCCAAAGAGGCCACUGGGCAUUUGGAACAAUAAAAAACAGUGAUAUCAGAACUUUUCUUGGAUACCGUUGGAGCAUGUGCCAGCACUCCCAGCUCCUGCUAUAUUUCAUUCUCACUAUUUUUGGACCAAGCUGCUGGUUCCAGGUUCAGAGAUUCAACCCAGUAUCAUCAAGUCAGGAACAUGGCAGUGUCCAGGCAAGCAUGGUGCAAGAGGAGCUGAGAGUUCUACAUCUUCAUCCAAAGGAAGCCAGGAACAGACCGAGCAUCUUCAGGCAGGUAGGAGGAGGGUCUCCAAGCUCACCCCUACAGUGACACACUUCCUCCAACAAGGCCACACCUUCUAAUAGUGCCACUCCCUGGGCCAAUAUGCAAACCAUCACAUUCUACAAUCAGACAGUUUAAGUUUCCUUCCUGUGCUACUGGUGAACUAAGCAGAUGAGAACUCUAAUUUACAUUUCUGAAUCACUUUGUUAUGAUGGAGUGAUGGAGCCUCCAUAUCAAUCAUUAUUAAUUCUCUCC